rnacentral:rRNA from 1 species
AUUGAACGCUGGCGGCAUGCUUUACACAUGCAAGUCGAACGGCAGCGCGGGCUUCGGCCUGGCGGCGAGUGGCGAACGGGUGAGUAAUACAUCGGAACGUGCCCAGUAGUGGGGGAUAGCUCGGCGAAAGCCGGAUUAAUACCGCAUACGACCUGAGGGUGAAAGCGGGGGAUCUUCGGACCUCGCGCUAUUGGAGCGGCCGAUGGCAGAUUAGCUAGUUUGUGGGGUAAAGGCCUACCAAGGCGACGAUCUGUAGCUGGUCUGAGAGGACGACCAGCCACACUGGGACUGAGACACGGCCCAGACUCCUACGGGAGGCAGCAGUGGGGAAUUUUGGACAAUGGGCGAAAGCCUGAUCCAGCAAUGCCGCGUGUGUGAUGAAGGCCUUCGGGUUGUAAAGCACUUUUGGCGGGAACGAAAAGGACUGUGCCAAUACCACGGUUCGAUGACGGUACCCGCAGAAUAAGCACCGGCUAACUACGUG